UGAAGAUUCAAUAAGGUUCAUUGUCAUUACACAAGAUAUUUACAAAAAUACACAGACGGAAAGCAGAUAUUAUUUCUACAGCAUCUACAGUGGAAUAAUAAAUUAAAAAAAAACAAUUAAACAAUACAAAACCUAAAUAAGGAUCAUUUUAGGGUGUCAUGAAUGUGGGCUCGAGGCACUUUCCCGUGUUCACUUUGUGCUUUCUCCUACAAAAACAACAAAAACAGGAGAGAGAAACAUUGAGUGCAGCUUCAGGGUUGAAAGCACGCUGUGACGGCUGAUGUUCAGGUGGGUGUGUCCCUGAACGCAGCAGACUGCCCCUUGCCUCAGACUGCUUUUGGCACGACACCAGAUUUACACAAAUCGAGUUUCCAGCAGCUUCAGGAGGGUCAGUUGUGAGUUAUUCAACAGAAAUGUCUCACAUCCUUCUUCUUCUUCUUCUUCUGACUUUUGAGACUGUGGAAUUAGAAGAGAUAAAAGUGAGGCCUAGACAAGAUGUCACUCUUCACUGUCAGGAUCCCAGUGGUGUAAAUAUCACUCUGUUAGAGUGGAGCAUACCUGAGAUUAAGUCAGACGGAUACGUCUUCUUCUACCGAAACGGGCGCUCAUAUGAAAGCUACCAGCAUGAGCGUUUUAAAGGCCGAGUGGAGCUGAAACACCCGUCUAUGAAAAACGGAGACGUUUCUGUGAUUCUCAAGAACGUCAACGUCAACGAUACAGGAACAUAUGAGUGUCGGAUUAUAACCAGUGAUCUCAGCAGCGGUCAGAGAGUUCAGAGUGAGUCCAGGCGGUCCAUCGACCUCACAGUCAUAGACUCUGGAGAUCCGACUGUAGAACACAAGGACAAGCAUGAUUUAAUUAUCAUUAUUGUUGCAGUUGUAAGUUGUCUUAUUGUUGGCGUUUGUGUUGCAGUAUUUUUCAUCCGAAAAUGGAAAUCAUCAACACGCGGCAACUCUUAUGAACAUCCACCUGAAAUGUUAAACAGUUGAUCUGAAAUGUUUGAGAAGAUGUGUGAAGCAUUGUUAUUUAGCGAGCAGACAGCAUAAACAGAGCGUCUGUUGACAGCACUCAACUCACAGCAACAAGGGUUCGAUGCACCGCUCCUCUGAUCUCGAGUCACAUUCGGGAGUCAUUUUCUCCCAACAACCAUUAAAAGUAACAUUACAUCAAUACUGUGGCUGCAACAAGCUUUUUAUAGACUUUAAAUCUGUUUAUUUUUCUUCUCCUUUUUUCUUUUAAGUUUAACUUUAUUCUGUGCAUUUUUCUGCAGAGCUUGAUUUUACCGUGAGAACAGCAGGUGAGCGUGGUGGAGCUUUUAGCAGGUAGAGAGGUGGAGGAGACAGACGUAGAGUAGAUCAGUUUAUGUAAGCUCUGAUUAGACGGGGCAUUAAAAUGGGGCCACAGUAGCACGGUUAGCAAGUUCUCUCAGUGAGUUAAGCACUUUAUUAACUUUAAGUUUUUAUUUUGCACUUUUAAACACUUGAUUUAUUUCUGUUUGUGGCAACUGCAGCCAAUCAGCCACCUUCCUGCUUUCUGUCCAUCGCCCCCAUUAGAAAUAAUGACUCAAUGUAAUCUAAUAUGUGAUUAUAGUAUACCCAUGAUAUUUAUUUAAAAAACAUACAAACCAUUAUCAUAAUGGUUUUAUUGUGUUAUUAUGUGAGUUGUGGAAAGUUCUGAGUUGGAUCUGUAAAUAUCAGAAACCUUAUCAGUGAUUUAAACUGAGCUGAUCUCACAUUCAGAUCUCCACCUCGGGCGUGGCUGUUUUUAGACUUCUGUCAUGACGUCUUCUUCUUGUUCCUCUGUGCAAAAUACACAGUUGAUCUUUCAGCGUUUUUCAUUUUCAGGACUUCACAUGAGCAUUAAUCUGGUGAAUAGAGAGGAUUUUCAAUCUGAAGACGUUUUAACACAAUCUGUUUCCUGUUCUGAUGCCUCAGGAUCUCGUCCUUUCUCCUGAUCUGCAUCCUCGCCUAUUGUGCUGCCUUAAGGCGUUGAAACUCAUCAGAAAACUGCUCAGUCGUGAAGUUCAGUACAAAUGUUGUGGAUCCAAUCUGACUCUGAGUGAUGAGCCGAGUCCAUUGUAAAUAUCCACUGUCAUACAAAGGAUAUUUGAAGAUCAAAAGGGGACAGUGCAAUGAGCAAAAUCAAAGUGGAAGAAGAUGGACGGAUGUUCAAAACUAAAACCUGAAUAAAUGAAAGUGAGCAGGACACGAGGUCGUAUCAGGAAUUUGAAGGAAGAUCGAGGUAUGAAAGCCUGUGGAGGGAAAUGGAGCCUCACUCUGUUUUUUGUUAUGUUUUCUUAUGUUAUGUGGCUCAAAUUAGGAGAUGAUACAUAUUUUCUGUGUAUUCGUAUGUAUGCAUUUGAACAUGUUCAUUUCUCUGUACCAUGUUUUUAUAUUUCUCCUUUGUUUGUUGUGACAUAAUUUUAUGAUAUUUAUUGUUGUUGAUCUGAUCACAGAAAUAAAAUGAGAGCCUCACAAGUAACAGAGUGAA
ensembl:lncRNA